CCUCUCCUUGUGCGAGCAGAGAUGGGCCGUGAUCUUCACAUCGAUUCCCACGUCCUCCACCCCUGCCUGGCGCUGGCGAAGGAGGAGAGGUUCGCCAGGAGGGUACUACCUCCCUUGCACGGCCGUGGAGACAUCUCCCAUCCUCCUUGGAUCUCUGUCCCUCGUAGGAGGUCCUCCAGGUCUCACAAAUAAUUGAAACCCCCGUUUUCAGCGGCGUAUCCAGCCGCCUCAUGAAGGAUCCCAAUUUAUGUGUGACUUUUUCCAUAAUGCCCUCCAGCAGAGUUGCUUUGAUCCUGCCCAGUGGAAAGAUGGCCCACAGACAUCAAAAUCUGUUUACUCAGGGUGGUUGUGACAGGUUGGAGCACCUAAUUUGUGUGAGAAGACAGCCCAGAAAAUAAGGAAAAUGCAACAGCUGGAGAAAUCCAGCUCCGAAGGCUGGAAUGGUUUCCUUGUGCAGAUUUCUCCAAAUCACAGCUAAGAAGGGGCAUGGCUCACUGAGA